CUGCCCCUCUCCAUUGCUCCGUUUUCUUGUCCAUUACGCGCUAUCCCUCCGCCUCUCCUUCUUUCUUUUCUUUUCUUUUUUUCCCUUCUCCUUUUCCCCCCUCUCUCCCCCUUUCUCCAGCUCCGUGUCAUUUCCUCCUUGCGCUCGCUCGCUGCCUGAGCGUCUCCAGCCGGGAGAGUAGGCGGAGCAGGGCGGUGCGGGGUGGCGUAGAGCUGGAGGGCGAUGGUGGCGGAGCUGCUGGGGGCGGAGGCAACGUAGCCCCCUCGGAAAAGGAGCCCGGCGGCGCCUGAGCCCAGCCGAGGAUGGAGAACCGGCCUGGGUCCUUCCAGUACGUCCCUGUGCAGCUGCAAGGGGGGGCACCCUGGGGCUUCACCCUUAAGGGGGGUCUGGAACACUGCGAGCCGCUCACAGUGUCUAAGAUUGAAGAUGGAGGCAAGGCAGCUUUGUCCCAGAAGAUGAGGACUGGUGAUGAGCUGGUGAAUAUCAAUGGCACUCCAUUAUAUGGCUCCCGCCAAGAGGCCCUCAUUCUCAUCAAAGGCUCCUUCCGGAUUCUCAAGCUGAUUGUCAGGAGGAGGAACGCCCCUGUCAGUAGGCCGCACUCAUGGCAUGUGGCCAAGCUGCUGGAGGGAUGCCCUGAAGCAGCCACCACCAUGCAUUUCCCUUCUGAAGCCUUCAGCUUGUCCUGGCAUUCCGGCUGCAACACAAGUGACGUGUGUGUGCAGUGGUGUCCACUCUCCCGGCAUUGCAGCACCGAGAAAAGCAGCUCCAUUGGCAGCAUGGAGAGCCUGGAGCAACCAGGCCAAGCCACCUAUGAGAGCCAUCUGUUGCCUAUUGACCAGAACAUGUACCCUAACCAGCGUGACUCAGCCUACAGCUCCUUCUCGGCCAGCUCAAAUGCUUCUGACUGUGCCCUUUCCCUCAGGCCAGAGGAGCCAGCCUCUACAGACUGCAUCAUGCAAGGCCCAGGGCCAACUAAGGCCCCCAGUGGCCGGCCUAAUGUGGCUGAGACCUCAGGAGGUAGUCGGCGCACCAAUGGGGGCCACCUGACCCCCAGCUCUCAGAUGUCAUCCCGUCCACAGGAGGGAUACCAGUCAGGGCCCGCCAAAGCAGUCAGGGGCCCACCACAACCUCCAGUGAGGCGGGACAGCCUUCAGGCCUCCAGAGCCCAACUCCUCAAUGGAGAGCAGCGCAGGGCAUCUGAACCUGUGGUCCCCUUGCCACAGAAGGAGAAACUGAGCUUAGAGCCUGUGCUACCCGCAAGGAACCCUAAUAGGUUCUGUUGUCUCAGUGGGCAUGACCAAGUGACAAGUGAGGGCCAUCAGAAUUGUGAGUUCAGUCAGCCUCCUGAAUCCAGCCAACAGGGCUCUGAGCAUCUACUGAUGCAGGCCUCAACCAAAGCUGUUGGAUCCCCAAAAGCCUGUGACAGAGCUUCCAGCAUGGAUUCCAACCCACUCAAUGAGGCUUCUGCAGAGCUAGCUAAGGCUUCUUUUGGCAGACCUCCACAUCUCAUAGGACCCAUAGGGCAUCGCCAUAGUGCCCCUGAACAGCUGCUGGCAUCCCACCUGCAGCAUGUGCACCUUGAUACCAGGGGCAGCAAAGGGAUGGAGCUCCCACCCGUACAGGAUGGGCACCAGUGGACUCUGUCCCCUUUGCACAGCAGCCACAAAGGGAAGAAAAGUCCAUGCCCCCCUACAGGAGGAACCCAUGACCAGUCCAGCAAAGAAAGAAAGACCAGACAAGUGGAUGACAAGUCUUUAGUUUUCGGACACCAGAGCCAAAGCAGUCCCCCACAUGGAGAGGCUGAUGGACACCCCUCAGAAAAAGGUUUCCUGGACCCAAACAGAACAAGCAGAGCAGCCAGUGAAUUGGCCAACCAGCAACCCUCUGCCUCUGGCUCCCUUGUUCAACAAGCCACGGACUGUUCUUCAACCACUAAAGUAGCUAGUGGCACAGAGGCAGGUGAAGAAGGGGACAGCGAGCCCAAGGAGUGCAGCCGGAUGGGUGGUAGACGAAGUGGAGGGACCCGGGGCCGCUCGAUCCAAAACCGGCGGAAGAGUGAGCGUUUUGCUACCAAUCUGCGUAAUGAAAUUCAGAGGAGGAAGGCCCAGCUCCAGAAAAGCAAGGGUCCCUUGUCACAGCUGUGUGACACUAAGGAGCCAGUGGAAGAGACCCAGGAGCCCCCAGAAAGUCCUCCACUCACUGCCUCUAACACAUCUCUUCUAUCUUCAUGUAAAAAACCUACCAGCCCCAGAGACAAGCUCUUCAACAAAAGCAUGAUGCUCAGAGCUAGGUCUUCCGAGUGCCUCAGCCAAGCCCCUGAGAGCCAUGAAUCUAGGACAGGCUUAGAGGGACGAAUAAGCCCUGGCCAGAGGCCUGGCCAGUCCUCUUUGGGCCUGAACACCUGGUGGAAAGCACCUGACCCAUCCUCCUCAGACCCUGAGAAAGCACCUGCUCACUGUGGAGUCCGUGGAGGUCAUUGGAGAUGGUCUCCAGAGCAUAAUUCACAGCCACUUGUGGCAGCAGCCAUGGAAGGCCCUUCCAACCCAGGUGACAACAAGGAAUUGAAGGCUUCUACUGCUCAAGCUGGGGAGGAUGCCAUCCUCUUGCCUUUUGCAGACAGAAGAAAGUUCUUUGAAGAGAGUAGCAAAUCCUUAUCUACAUCUCAUUUGCCAGGUUUAACCACUCAUAGCAACAAGACUUUUACCCAGAGACCGAAACCUAUAGACCAAAACUUCCAGCCAAUGAGCUCCAGCUAUAGGGAAUUGAGGCGCCAUCCCAUGGACCAAUCAUAUCAUUCCGCAGACCAACCAUAUCAUGCCACAGACCAAUCAUAUCAUUCCAUGUCACCCCUUCAGUCAGAACCUCCCACUUACUCAGAAUGUUUUGCAAGCAAAGGUCUAGAAAAUUCCAUGUGUUGUAAGCCACUACACUGUGGUGAUUUUGAUUACCACAGGACCUGCUCUUACUCCUGCAGUGUUCAAGGAGCUCUAGUCCAUGAUCCUUGCAUUUAUUGUUCUGGGGAAAUCUGCCCUGCCUUGCUAAAGAGAAAUAUGAUGCCAAAUUGCUACAACUGCCGGUGCCACCACCACCAAUGCAUUCGGUGUUCAGUUUGCUAUCAUAAUCCUCAGCACAGUACCCUCGAGGACAGCAGCUUGGCACCUGGCAACACUUGGAAACCCAGGAAGCUGACAGUGCAGGAAUUUCCUGGGGACAAAUGGAAUCCAAUAACAGGAAACAGGAAGACCAGCCAGUCAGGGAGGGAAAUGGCUCAUUCCAAGACUAGCUUUUCAUGGGCAACCCCUUUCCAUCCUUGCCUUGAGAACCCAGCACUGGACUUGUCAAGCUACCGAGCAAUUUCUUCUCUUGACCUCCUUGGAGACUUCAAACAUGCUUUGAAAAAAUCAGAGGAAACUUCAGUUUAUGAGGAGGGGAGCUCCCUUGCCUCCAUGCCCCACCCACUGCGCAGCCGUGCCUUCUCAGAGAGUCACAUCAGCUUGGAGCCCCAAAGCACCCGGGCCUGGGGGCAGCAUAGGAGGGAGCUCUUUAGCAAAGGUGAUGAGACCCAGUCGGAUCUUCUCGGAGCCAGGAAGAAGGCCUUUCCUCCUCCUCGCCCUCCUCCUCCCAACUGGGAGAAGUACAGGCUCUUUCGUGCAGCCCAGCAGCAGAAGCAGCAACAGCAGCAGCAACAGCAGCAGCAGAAGCAACAGGAGGAGGAGGAGGAGGAAGAAGAAGAAGAAGAGGAAGAGGAGGAGGAGGAGGCAGAGGAGGAGGAAGAGGAGCUGCCACCCCAGUAUUUCAGUUCAGAAACCUCUAGUUCCUGUGCUCUCAAUCCUGAGGAGGUCCUAGAGCAGCCACAACCCCUCAGCCUUGGCCACCUGGAGGGCUCGAGACAGGGUUCACAAAGUGUCCCAGCAGAGCAAGAAUCCUUUGCACUCCAUUCCAGUGAUUUCUUGCCUCCAAUAAGGGGUCACUUGGGAUCUCAACCUGAGCAGGCUCAGCCCCCUUGCUACUAUGGCAUUGGUGGGCUUUGGAGGACAUCGGAACAGGAAGCCACUGAAUCCGCCAAACAAGAGUUUCAGCACUUUUCGCCUCCUCCAGGGGCCCCAGGAAUCCCUACCUCUUACUCAGCUUAUUACAAUAUUUCUGUGGCCAAGGCAGAGCUGCUGAACAAACUGAAAGACCAACCUGAGAUGGCAGAGAUUGGCCUAGGAGAGGAGGAAGUUGACCAUGAACUGGCUCAAAAAAAGAUACAGCUUAUCAAAAGCAUCAGCAGAAAACUUUCUGUCUUGCGGGAGGCCCAGCGAGGGCUGCUAGAGGACAUCAAUGCCAAUUCUGCCCUUGGGGAGGAGGUGGAGGCCAACUUAAAAGCCGUCUGCAAAUCCAAUGAAUUUGAAAAGUACCACUUGUUUGUUGGGGACCUGGACAAAGUGGUCAACCUGUUGCUGUCACUCUCUGGACGACUGGCCCGGGUGGAGAAUGCUCUGAACAGCAUCGAUUCAGAGGCCAACCAGGAGAAGUUGGUGCUGAUAGAGAAGAAGCAGCAGCUGACGGGGCAGUUGGCAGAUGCCAAGGAGCUGAAGGAGCACGUGGACCGCCGGGAGAAGUUGGUGUUUGGCAUGGUCUCCCGCUACCUGCCUCAGGACCAGCUCCAAGAUUACCAGCACUUUGUCAAGAUGAAAUCUGCUCUCAUCAUUGAACAGCGAGAGCUGGAGGAGAAGAUCAAGCUCGGGGAAGAGCAACUCAAAUGUCUCAGGGAGAGUCUACUCCUGGGGCCCAGCAAUUUCUAAUUCUACCAGCACUCUGCCACAGCAUCCCUGCCCAGCCAUGAGGGAAGUGCUUUCAAUCUUCUUUGUUAGCAGUUUCUCAGCAAGUAGAUAGCAAUUAGCAGUUUGUUCCAGCCCUCUACCCUGGAUGUCUCUCACUACCCCUUCCCUAGCAGUGGUCCUAACCAGCUAGGAGACCCUGGGGAAGCCACAAGCUUCUACCCAAGGGAGCUGCAGCAAGGUGUGAUCUUAGAACCACACUCUCCUUCCCACAGUUGCCAAGGGCAAGUACUUGCUGCACAGAGAACCAAGGAAGUGCCUUCAUUCUGCUUUGUACUAGGACACCAAAGACAUCAAGUACUCAUCAUCCACCCAUAUCAUCAACAGCCUCUAAAGGCUCAGAGGGAAUCUGCCUUGCAGCUCUACUCUGCCUCAGGGCUUGUGGCCAGCCAUUUCUCACAGAGAGCUGGCUGCCUUGAGGGCAUUCACCUGGCACCAGUUUCAGGGCCUCACCCAAGCUUUGCAGGGGAAAGCACAGAGGGAGGAAUUACACUGAAAAAAUGCAAGCAAAGGUUGAGUACCCCCAGGUGCCCCUUAGGAAGGAACCAGGUUUAAAUAGGCUCUACCCUUACCUUUCCCAGCAGCAAGUUCAGGGGAAGAGGCCUACUCUUAGCCCUGGCUAGCGUGACCCUCUUCCUGUCCUAAGACUUUGGUCCUACCACCUCUUGUUUCAUCUUUCCUUUACAUUGCUGGGGGUUACCGCAGGUGCCUACCCCAGGGCUUCACCAUAUGGGCCAUUAAUAGCUCUACUAAAACUGACUUCUAGAUGUAGGUUUCAUUACUGGGGGAGGGGGUUCUUAUUGUUAUAUUUUAAAUGGCCUUUUGAUUUUAUUUAUUUUUAUGUUUUGAUUAUUUUUUUUCUUUUUUUAACUAAUAAGGCGAGAAGAGGGAAGUUGGAGAGGGAAAAGUUAGCCCAGAAGGAAAGCAUUUUCUGCAGAUCAGCCUGAAUCCACCGUGGCUAGGCAUAUUCUUGCUCUUCUCGUGUUGCUCACAACUACCUGCCUGGAUGAAUUUAGGAAAGUUGCAGGAUACAACGUUAAAACACACGAUCAAAUGAACAAUCCGAAAAUGUUAUUAAGAAAACAGUUCCGGCCGGGCGUGGUGGCUCAUGCCUGAAAUCCCAGCACUUUGGGAGGCCGAGGCAGGUGGAUCACGAGGUCAGGAGAUCAAGACCAUCCUGGCUAACACGGUGAAACCCUAUCUCUACUAAAAAUACAAAAAAAUUAGCCAGGUGUGGUGGCAUGCACCAGUAGUCCCAGCUACUCGGGAGGCUGAGGCAGGAGAAUUGCUUGAACCUGGAAGGCAGAGAUUGCAGUGAGCUGAGACCGCACCACUGCACUCCAGCCUGGGCAACAGAGUGAGACUCUGUCUCAAAAAGAAAGAAAGAAAGAAAACAGUUCCAUUUACAAUAGCAUCAAAAAGAAAAAAAGUACUUAGGAAUAAUUUAACAAAAGAAGUGCGAAACUUUUACACUGAAAACUAUAAAACAUUGUUGAAAGAGAUUAGAGAAGAUCAAAAUAAAUGGAAAGACACUCCAUGUUCAUGGAUUGGAAGACUUAGUAUUGUUAAGAUGAAAUGUGCCCCAAAUUGAUCUACAGAUUCAAUCCAAUGCUUAUCAGAAUUCCAGUGGCUUCCUUGCGUAAGUUGACAAGCUGCUUCUAAAAUUCAUAUGGAAUUACAAGGGACCCAGAACAGUCAAAACAAUCUUUAAAAAGAACAGUUGGAGGGCUCAUACAGCCCAACUUCAAAACUUACUGCAAAACUACAGUAAUCAAGACAGUGUGGUACAGACACAAGGGUAGGUGUAUAAAUAAAUGGAAUUAAAUUGAGAGUCCAGAAAUAAAUCCUCAUGUAUAUGGCUAGUUAAUUUCAACAAGGGUCCCAAGAGAAAUUGAGGAGAGAAUAGUUUUUUAACAAAUGAUGCUGAGACAACUGGGUAUCUACAUGGGAAAAAAUGAAGUUUUCCUUAAAUCACAUGCAAGAAUCAACUCAAAAUGGAUUAUAGAAUGUGAGAGUCAAAAUUAUAAAAUUCUUAGAAGAAAACAUUGUAGUAAGUCUUCCUAAUGUUAAGACGAUUUGCACAAGUGAUACAAGAAAUAGAAAUAAAUUGGAGUAAAUCAAAAUUAAAAACUUUUGUGCUAAAAAUAUACCAUAUAAAAAAGUGAAAAGACAAGCAACAUAAUGGGAGAAAAUAUUUGCAUAUCAGAUACUUCAAAAUAUGAAAAGGACUCUUACAACUCAAUGAUAAAAAUAACCAAUUAAAAAUGGGUUAACAGAUUGUAAUAGACAUUUCUUCAAAGAAAAUAUGUGUUUUAGUAUGCUUGGGUUGCUAUAACAUACUACCAUAGACUGAUUGGCUUAAAUAACAUUUAUUUCUCACAGUCCUGGAGACUGGGAAAUCAGAGAUCAAGAUGCCAGCAGAUUCAAUGCCUUGUGAGGGCCCACUUUAUGGUUUGCAGAUGGCUACCUUGUGGCUGUGUCCUCAGCAAAGACAGAAAGGGAUCUGGUCUCGGCCAGGCGUGGUGGCUCACGCCUGUAAUCCCAGCACUUUGGGAGGCCGAGGCGGGCGGAUCAGGAGGUCAGGAGAUCGCAACCAUCCUGGCUAACAUGGUGAAACCCCAUCUCUACUAAAAAAAUACAAAAAAAUUAGCAGGGCAUGGUGGCAGGUGCCUGUAGUCCCACCUAGUCGGGAGGCUGAGGCAGGAGAAUGGCGUGAACCCAGGAGGCGGAGCUUGCAGUGAGCGGAGAUUGAGCCACUGCACUCCAGCCUGGGUGACUGAGCGAGAUUCUGUCUCAAAAAAAAGAAAGGGAUCUGGUCUCUUCCCCUUCUUAUAAGGGCAUUAUAAUUUCAUUAUGAAUGCCUACUCUUGUGACUUCAUCUAAACCAAUUUACCUCUCAAAGGCCCCACCUCCAUAUGCCAUCACAUUGGGGAUUAGGGCUUCAGCAUAUGAGUUUGGAGAGGACACAAACAUUCAGCUUAUAGCAAUAUGCAACUGGCUAGCAAGCACAGGGAAAAAUGCUCAAGCACUACUAUUCAUUAGGGAAAUGCAAAUCAAGACCACAAUGAGAUACCACUUCAUACCCACUAGAAUAGCUAUAUCAAAAAGCCAAACAAUAACAAGUGUUGGUGAGGAAAUGAAGAAAUUGGAACACUCAUACAUUGCUGAUGGGGAUGUAAAUUGAUGCAACCUCAUUGAAAAACAGCUUGGCAGUUUCUCCAAAUGUUAAACAUAGAAUUUCCACAUGACUUAGCAAUUCCAUUCCUAGGUAUAUACCCAAGAGAAUUGGAAACAGGUGUUCAAACAAAAGCGUGAACAUGAAUGUUUAAAGUGGCAUUACUCAUAAUAGCCAAAAAGUGGAAAUGACCCAAAUGUCCAUCCACUGAGGAAUGGAUAAACAAACUUUGAUAUAUGCAUACAGUAGGGUAUUAUUUAGCCAUAAAAAUGGAUAAAAUACUGAUACAUGUAACAUUGAUGAACCUUGAAAAUAUGCUAAGUGAAAGGAGCCAAUCACAAAAGACCACAUAUUGUAUGAUUUAAUUUAUAUGAAAUGUCCCAAACAGGUAAAUCUAUAAAGGUAGAAAGCAGAUUAGUGGUUGUCAAGGCUGGGGGCUCAGGGGCAAUAGGCAUGGGGUUUCUUUUGUGGAUGAUGAAAAUAUUAUAAAAUUAGAUUGUCAUCAUGGUUGUCCAACUCUGUGAAUGUACUGGAAACCAUUGAAGUAUACAUUUUAAAUGGGUGUGCUAAAUGGUAUAUGAAUUAUUUCUCAAUAAGUGUGUUUUUUAAAAAAAGCUAUUGAUUAUUUCCAUCAGUCUCAUUCCUCUUGACAAAAAUCUGAGUUGAUGGUGAGCAUGUACUUCAUUCCUGACUCCAAAGGGUACAAUAUUUACAAUAUUUGAAUUUGGGAGUGACUUUACUAUUACAACCUUCCCCUUGAAGACCUGGAAGACCCAGCAACAUAAGGACAAACAGUAGUCUCAGCCUUGUACUAAGACUUCAGCAAAAAUAAGAGAGAUGGGAGGGACUACUAUUGGGAAGGAGGGGCAAUAUUUCUAGGCAAAUAUUGUGGUAGAAUGGAUAAGAGCUUCGGCUCAUUGGGCAAAUAAACCAAGUUUUAAAUCCCGAUUCUACCAAUUUACUAUGUCACCUUAAUAAGUUACUUGACUCCUCUCAACCUUAAUACCUUCAUCUACAGAAGGGGGCUAAUAAAAGCCCCACCUCGAAGUGUUACUAUGAUGAUUAAAAGAUAAUUCACAUGAAGCACUUAAAAUAAUGUCUGCCAUGUAGUAAGUAUUUGAUAAAUGUUAGCUGCUAGAUUUAUUUUUAUUGAGGUGAGAUUGAAGUAGAACAAUAUAAGGAAAAGUAAAGCAUCUUCAGCUUUGGAGUCAGACAGCUCUGUUAAUGUGACCUUGGAAGUCACUUUAUUUAUUGAGCCUUAGCAAAUAAUGAGGAUAGUAAUCCUUCUCUUAUGGAGGCAGUUCCAAGCCUGGACACUGGAACCCACACCACGUGGGUUUUCAUACUGGCUCCACCACUUACACAUUGUGUAACCUUGAGCAUGUUUAACUUCCCUGUACCUGGAUGUCCUUUUCUGUCAAAUGGUGGAAACAAAAAUACAUCCUUGUGUUGUGAGGAAUUAUUGAGUUAAUCCAUGCAAAGUACUUAGGACAAUAAGUACCCAAUGAAUGUUAACUUUUAUUAUAAAGCUAAAGUAGGAAUCAAAUGAGGUCUCUGGUAGAGCUGUUCAUAUGGUAGGUUCUCCGUAGAUGAUGGUUCCUUUCCUUACCUACCCUGCUGUGUGCACCAGGUCAAGAUUUUUUGGACCUGCAGAUAAAAUGUUUCAGCCUUAGGAGUUCCCCACUGUAAGUAAAAUUUUCUGGCAAGCUCAAUACUACCAUCUGAUGAGAACAAUGUAGUCUGUUAGCUGCCUGCAAGAUGACUGUCUAUACUCCCAAGAAAACACCCCCUUCAGAGCAAUAGAGAAGGAACUGUUUUGCAUGUGGACCACUUAAGGUCCAAUUUGAGGCUGGUUUGGGGAAAACAUCCACUCCUCCUCAAACCUAUCUUUAGACUUAAAGUCAACUUAAAUGUCACUGAGUUUCCCACCCUGGGUUAAGCACUUUCACUUAUCUUUGCUUACACUAUUUUUCUAUCUAAACAUACAUUUUUAAAGCAGAAAUCCUCAUUUAAUCUUUAAAACAGAUCUGUGAUUUUGAAACACUAUUUAAUCAAAAUUCAGAAUUGUGGUAGCAUUUUUGCUGUUUGUAAGUUAAACAAAAUAGAUUGUAAGUGUGCAAUGCCAUUCAUUCAUGCAACUAAUGUGCCAAUAAUUUGUUUUGUGCUUCAGGGAUUCAGAAGUGGACAAGAUAGACAAAGUCCCCACUCUCGUGGGGCUUUUAUCCUAAUGAAAGAGAUAGAUAAGUAUAAAUAUACAAUUACAUAAUACUUUAUAUACAGAAAUAUACACACAAUCACUUUUUACCCUGGUAUGGCAAUGUGAAACAUUCUUCCUUGAUUUCUUCAGCUAUGUGCAAUAGGCUAAACUCAUGAAUCUCUUUGCUACUGCAGUAACUAAAAUAUUUUUUGCAUUAAUUUUCACCAGAGAAUAAUGUUUCAGUGAACAUGAGAGUGCAGAUAUCUCUUCGAGAUACUGAUUUCAUUUCCUUUGGGUAUUUACCCAGAAGAAGAAUCUCUGCAUCAUAUGGUCAUCGUAUUCUUAAUAUUUUGAGGAAUAUACACUAUUUUCCAAAAUGGGGUACUAAUUUACAUUCCCACCAACAAUGUACCAGGGUUUCCUUUCCUCCAUACCCUCAUCAACAUUCGUUAUCCCUUGCCUUUUUGAUAAAAGCCUGCUAUUUAUGACAAAAUGGAUGAACCCGGAGGGUAUUAUGCUAAGUGAAAUAAACCAGACACAGAAAGAAAAAUACUGUGUAAUCUCAUAUGUGGAAGCUAAAAAAGUCAAACACACAGGGGGAUGGAGGUGGAAGAAAUGAGGAUGUUGGUCAAAGCUACAAAGUUGCAGUUACAUAAGAUGUAUAAAUCUAGAGAUCUCAUGUACAGCAUAAGUUCUAUAGUUAAUAAUGCUGUAUUGAAUACUGGAAAUUUUCUAAGAGUAGAUUUCAGGUGCUCUUACUGCAAAAGAGGGUAAUUAUGUGAGGAAAUGCAUAUUUAAUUUGCAUGACUGUAGCAAUCAUUUCACUAUGUAUAUGGAUGUCAAAACAUCAUUUGUACACCUUAAAUAUAUACAAUAAAAGAUUUUCACCAAAGAUAUUUUCUCCAUAGGAUUUGUGAUGAGAUUUUUAAAAAAUUGUCUAGCAAAAGGAUGACAAACUAUCACUGAAGAGGUAGGAUUUGAAAGUAGUUUAGACAGAAAGGUUGAAUUCCACUCUUGAUAGAGAAAAUCAAUUCAUGUCACGUGGAAAUCUUGUCCAUUCUGGGCAACAUUCAAACAUGGCCAAAGACUAAGGGGUUCUGGCAAAAGCUCCUCUCCUCCUGAGCAGUGUAAACAUUAACAGACCACAUUCUGUUUGUAAACUGCUUAAGUUUCUUCAAUAUGACCCUUCAUUCUGGAGUUGCUUACUGCCAUUAACAGAGUAAAAUAACAUGGCUUUGAAUUCCCAUUUUCCUCCCAGCUACUUAUUUUCUAUCUGAAAAGGAUAAUUAAUGGAACUCACCUCCCUGGGUGUUGAGUUGAUUCUAUUUUUUGCAAAGGAAAAAAUCUGGGAAAAGGCCAUGAGUAAAAAAUCUUUCCAGCUUGAAAAUGCAUUAGAUUAAAUGUGAAUAAGUCAAAGUGCUGAAAAAAUAACAACUUGUUCCCUGAUUUCUCCUCAGUUUUAAAUUUGAUAAAGAUGAAAAAGCAGACCAAACUCAGCAGAUACAAUAAAUGAUAACUUAUAAUUGAGAGAAAACUCUUAUUUGGGCUAAACUUAAACAGCUACUGUUUAGAAGUCUCAUAAAUGACUAUAUAUUUAAGCACCUUUUACAAAUAUGGAACCUUUAGUUUUCUUUUAGAAAAGUGGGCAGUGGUAAGAGUGAGGAGAGGCAGAUAGAAAAGAGUAAUGAGAUUGUGGAUAAAUUAGAUAAUACUAUGCAUUUAGAACAUAAUUUUGGACACUUUCUCACAGGCUGGUAGAUAUUUUGCUCUAUCAAAUAAGCCUGUCAUAAAACUCAGACCGUUACUAAAACCUUUUAUUAAAAAAAAAUCCAGUUUUGACAAAAGAUAACCCAAACCAAGUCUGUUAUUGAAGCAAUCUCUGAGUGAGAAAAACCAUGUAUCUUUGGGAGCUCGCUGGAAUGGCACUCAAAACCCUUAGACCUGGACGCAGUUCUGCCCUUCUCACUCUGUGACCUCGUGCUCUUUUAUCAGUUUUGUGAAGAGGAUAUUUUGGUGGCUAUUAAACUGAAGAACAAACACCCUGCCUAGCUGCAUAACACCAUGCUCCAAAUUUCGCCUCCAAAUUGCACACUGGCCCAGCUCCCUCUAAUUGACCUGGCUGCCCAGAGGAUGAAGUCCUGAUUCUUGCAUAUAAGGCCCUUCAUGUUCUGUCUCCUGUGUGCUUCUCCAGCUAUGACCCCUAACACCUUCUCACACUCAUCCUUAGCUCUAGCUGGUUCUGCAAAUGUGUCAUGCAGUCUCAUCCCUCUAUACACUCAAAAAGGCUGGUCCCUCUACCUGAAAAUCCACCACCCCACUCCCUGAGUUCCCUAUUUAGCCAAUUCCAGCAUGUCCUUUGGUGUCAACUCAGAUUUCACAUCCUUCAGAAACAUCCUGUUGAUAUACUAAUAACAGUGUGUGGUAUUCGGAUAUGAUCAUUGUUUACACUUUCUGUCUCUCCCUUUAGGCUGUGGGCUUCUUGAGGGCAGAAACUAAUUUAUACCACUAACACUUAGCACAGUGCCCCAAGCUCAUAGUAAACACCUCAGAAAUACAUGGUAGUAACAAUUCACGAAGGCUUUGCUGUGGGCUUCAUAUUUGUGGUGAUAUCUUACACUGGCUUAUCCUCCUCAAUACAAUCAUUAAAUGUUGGACUUUCUUAAAACUUGGUCCUAGGCCCCUCUUCUCUUCUUGCUGUAUGCUCUUGCCCAACUCUCUUUCUUAAUCAUACAUACCCAUGAUUAGUUAAUCUCCCAUAUAAAGCUGGCUCCCAAAUUUAUAUCUCCAGUUCAUAUUUUUUCAUAGCUCCAAAACUUUUUAUCUGGUUGGCUCAAUGACACCCCAAAACCCAAAUAUUAAUGUAUCCAAAAUUAAACAUUUGAUUUUCCCCUCCCGAACCUGAUUCCCUCUAGUGUUCUUUAUAUCUCAGUGAUUAAUACUCCUCUCCAACCAACUAGGAAAGCUAGAAGUCCUAGAGUAAUCCCAGACAUCCUCCUCUUUCUCACCCCUUCCAUAUAGAAUUGAUCACCAAGUCCUAUCAAUUCUGUCUCCUAAAUAUGUCUCAAAUCUAUUCACUUAUUUUUCCACAACUAUUAUCCUCUGAACUACACCAUUAGCCUAACUAUUCUUCUUAUGCCAUUUCUUGCUUUCUGUAGACUGUUGUUCAUGCUGUAGCCAGGGUGAUCUUGCCAAAACCCAAAUAUGAUUAUAUCACCCCUUCUCCUGUCUAGGUCAUUUUAAUAGGUUUCAAAGCCCUUUCCAUUGCCUGUGAGGCUCUGCAUGCCCAUCUAUGCCUAAUGAUGUACCAACAUCAGCUUCAACCUCAUUAUCUGGGCAAACCUGCUUUUCAGAUUCAUUUAUAGCUUUGGCUUUGAUAUUUAAAGACUGAAUAGCCAAAUAUCUUCUUCAGCAUUGAAUUACUUAGCUUUUGCUGCAGCAGCCAAUGACCCUCAGUUUUCAGUGGUUUGCAACAACAAACAUUUUCUUUUCAUCUCACGUGAAGGCUAAUGGCUAGCUACAACUUUGCUGGCCUUGGCUGGGUUCAGGUACCAUCAUGAAUCUUCUGAUUCAGGGACUGAAGAUGAAAGAUCCGCAACUCUCUUGGGCACAUGUUUCUCCUUUUGGAAGUCAAAAGCUCAAGAGAGACAGAGCCAAACCAUGAAAGGAUAUUUAAGUGGCUGCUCUGAUGUAGGGUAUAUCAUGCCCAUUGUAUUAGUUUUCUAUUAUAACAUUACCACAAACUCAGUAGCUUAAAACAACACAUAUUUAUUACUUCACAGUUUCUGUGGGUCAGAUGUCUGAGCAUAACUUAACUGUGUCCUCUACUUAACAGUUUCACAAAGCUGCAGUCAAGGUGUCAGCCAGGCUGCAAUCUCAUCUGAAGGCUUGACUGUGGAAGAAUCUGCUUCCAAGCUCACUCAUAUUGUUGGCAGAUACAUUUUCUUGUGGCUGUAGAGCUGAGGGCACUGCUUUCUGACUAUCAGCUGAAGACUACCUUCAGAUCCUAAAGGCCACCCUCACCUCCUAGUGGCUGCCUGCAGUUCCUAGAUGCUGCUCAGAGUUCCUAGAAGCCUUGCCACAGUUCCUUAUAAUGUGGCAACAUGGCUGCUUACUUCAUCAAGCUAGUAAGGAGAGUCUCUAAAGUGAAUCUGAUAGUAAGACUAGAUCAUAUAGAAUGUAAUAUAAUCACAAAUUAGACAUUUUAUCACCUUUGCCAUAUUCUAUCAUUUAGAAGCAUGUCACAGGUCCAUCACACUCAAGGGGAGAGGAUUGUACCAGGGCAUGAAUACUAGGAGGUGAGGAACAUGGAGGCCAUCCUAGAGUCUGCACAUCACAUCUACUUACAUUCUAUUGACUAAAGCAAGUCACUGACUAGCCAGUCCUAAGGACAAUUGGACACUAAGGUAUACUCUACCUAUAGGGUGGGGACGAAAUGAAUAAUUUUUAACAAAUAAUACAAUCUACCAAAACCAUUAUUUCUGACAUUCUUAAACUUGUGCAUGAUCAAUGAUCAGGUGAUCACCUAGGCUACUGCAUAAUAAUGACAGUAAUAUGAAUAAUGGAAGUCAUUUGGAGUUAUUAAUAUUUUAAUAUUCACUUUAAAACAUAGUUAAGCAUUCUAGACAAAACUAGGGAGAAAAUCUCUUAUGUUCUAUAUAUUUUAAUUCUGUCAAUCCGUUGAAAAAUAAAUGUGUAUCUUUGAAAGAAUAAAAUACAAUAAUGCUGAUUGUAAGAACUGUUAAAUUUAUCUCCAUAAAACUUAACUUCCAAAUAGUUAAAUAUGGAAGUAGAUUGGUAGUUAAUAUAAAUUAUGAGAGCAUACACUCACUAAAUAACCUUAGGGAGAAUAUUAUAUCAAUUUUGAGACAGUCUUUGAAAACUUUAAAUAAUAGAGGUUCAAGUAUAUUAUAAUUUUAAACUAUAGACUUGGUUGAGGUGUUAGCAUUCACAAUAGUAACCAAAAUAACCUUUAUGUACAUAUUAAAUUUUAGUUAAUCAUUUCAUGAUUCCUUUAGGAAAAAAUCUUAUUUGGGAAUUUUUCACAUCUUAUGAGGAUGACUUAAAACCAGUGUCAAUCCAAAUUUUUCAAGGAAGAGAAAUCUCCAAAAUGGAGGUUAAGAGAAUCUUUCCAAAGGAAGUAACAAUUCAGUUAAAACCUGAAAGAGUUAGCUAGGCAAAAGUGAAGUGAAGAAGGAGAGGGAACAAUCCGGGUAGAGGGAGUGUCAUAUGAGAGACCAAGAAUGCUGAAUACAAGUCAAAGGGGUUGAAGUGCUGAGGAGGUAUAUUCCUUUACUAUGAUGCCACAACUGAAUGGCUUAAAAUGACUCACAUUUACUAUCUCAUAGUUUUUCAUGUCAAGGCACAGCUUAGCUGGGUCCUCUGUAAGACUGCAAUCAAGGUCUUGGUCAGGGCUGGGCUCUCAUUUAGAGGCUUGACAGGGGAAGGAUCCACUUCCAAGCUCACUCUAGUUGUGAGCAGUUCCUUUCCUUGUGGCUUUAAGACUUAUGGCUGGCUGCUUUUUCCAAACAAGCAAUGGAGAGAGAAAGACUCUAAAAUCAGCUAGCAAGAUGGAGUCAUAUAUUGUAAUCACAGGAGUGACAUCCCAUCACCUUUGCCAUAUUCUAUUGUUUAGAAUCAAGCCACACUUCCCACUUACACUCCAGGGGAGGGGAUUAUACAGGGGUGUGAACACCAGGAGGUGGGGAUCAUAAAGACCACCCGAAAAAUUUUCCCCCACAGAGAGGCAAAGUGGUAUAAGAUAUGUGGUAGAGGUUCACUUAAUCUGCAGUUUAGCCAAAUGAUGCUUGACUAGGUGUAGGGGUUCAGUCAGGAUGGUGGGAGAAAUUGUGAAAUUAUAGGAAAUAAACACAAACCCUCUUGGAAGUCCUGGGGGUUUGCAUGGUUUCAGUAGUGUUUGGCUGAAGGCAGCUGAAUUCUCUUAAAAGCUUAGGGCAUAGAUACAUAGGAAUGUAGAGGAGUUUGUCUAAAUAACUUGUUUAUUCAUGUGGUCCUAAAACUAACCUUUGAUCAUUCAAGGGCAGGAUGGCUCUCUCAGGGAGAAGGCUACCAGGUUAAUUACCCUCUAAUGGUGUUGACCCAAAGCCUUUGUCAUUUAAUGUGUGCUAAAUAAAUGCCAGUAGGGCCAGCAAGUCAGGGCUGCAGCUGCAACUCUUUACACCACCUUCCUUGGUGUCUAUAAGUGGCCCAGACCCUCAGCCGGACUGACAGGCAAAAUAUCUGUGUCAGUAUAUGUUAUUCAUCCAUCAUUAAGUCAAGGUCUGCAGGACAAACCCCCACAGCUAGGUAUCAAAAUCAAGAUUAAGCAAAAACUAAGCCCAAAUCCAAAAAUCCUCAUUAUAUAUUGAAAUUCCAGUAUACAGGCAUAAAUUUGAAAAUAUGUCAAAAUAUUAAUCAUAACAAAUUUAUUAUUAAAAUGUUAGUAGCCAAUUUUUAAAAGUUUAUUAUUACAAUCUGGGAACAAAAUUCCCAAGUACUAUCACACUGCCUACCACACUGUUGAUCUUUCCUUCACAGCAUUUUUACAUCCACAACUCUAUAUUUACUUGUAUGAAUAGCUGAUUAAUAUUUGAAUCCUGUGCUAGACUGUAAUCUCCAAGAGAGCAGGAGCCUGUGUCCAGUUUUGCUCAUAGUACUACUUUUGGUGGAAUAGGAUUUUUUGGCUCCCAUAUUCCCUUUGAUCCUACCCAUCCUCACUCAGGAGACUUUAGCAUCAUUAAAUUGCAUCAAAGUUAUUCUAUCAAUGGUAUUCAGGAAAUGACAAGAGAAGGGUUUGGAACAAGAGAGUUAACUUUAAAUUUGUUUAAUAAUUGUGAAAAUUUGGAAAUAACCUAAAUGUCCAACAGUAAAAGAAUUGGGUGUUUUUUUGUUUGUUUGUUUGUUUGUUUGUUUGAGGUGGGGUCUUACUCUGUGGCCCAGACUGGAGUACAGUGGCAUAAUCAUAGCUCACUGCAGCUUCAAACUCCUGAGCUCAAGUGAUCCUCCUGCCUCGGCUUCCCAAUGUGUUAGGAUUACAGGCAUGAGGCACUGUGCCUGGCACUGGAAUUGUUACAUAUACCAUGGUACAUUCAAUCUAUGCAGGGAGAAUGGAUGCUACUUCUUUCUUUAUUUAGUGGUUACCUUGUCCAGGAUAAAGAAAACAAGUGAGGCUGUUGCCCAAGCAGUACCACAUGCAUUUCCUAAUAAUAAGGUAGCAAAAAAUUAAUUCAAACAUGUUUGUGUUCAAACUCUAAUUCUACCAAUCUUGGAUGACCAAAUGGAGGUCUACCUAUCCUGAAAAAGAUUUGUCUAAAGCAGUGGUUCUCAAAGUGUGGUCCUUGAAGCAACAAUGGCAGCAUCAUCUGGGAAUAUGUUAGAAAUACAAGUUUUUAAGUCCCAACUCAGACCUACUAAAUCAGCAAAUAUGGGAUUGGGGCCCAGCAUUCUAUUUUAACAAGCCCUCUAGCUGAUUCUGAUGUACACUCAAGUCGGUGACCCAAGACCCUUGGUUAUUUUUGCCUCUGACCACAAGGUGGCAACCUUUGUCUAAAGUCCUAUGAGUUGUCCAAUGGUUACGUUAGGUGUAAUCUUGUCUAGCCACUGAACUGUCCAGAGGCAGUAAGUAGUGAUGUGAUAUGGGGAUGUGAGGGAGAAGUGAGAGAUGGGAGAGGAAGAAAAGAGAUGAAAGGAAGAAUGGGGACUGGAGGAGGCUUUAUCUCUGCUUUGAACACAGCAAGUAAACUACAGUGAGGAGGUGGGACAAUGUUAGGGGUGCUGGUUGUUUAUCAUCUAACAAUUCAGCUCAUUCUGGAUAUAAAACAAUGUGAAGUAAUGUUGGGGAUUUUGUGUGCAGCCAAUUUUAUCUAUGCUUUUUAUCCUUGUAAUGCCUAGACACCACCCAAAGGCAAGCACCUCCUCACACUAUCACCUAUCCUCUUCCUACUCUCAUAAUAUAAUCGUGAAUUCCUUCCCCAGUUAUCUUCCAUCACAGAAUCCCCUCUUUUUAAACCUUUCCACAGUUCUCCCGGGUGCCCUGUUGCACAGUAAAAUAAGCUCAGCCUAUGAAAAUAUACAGAAAUGUUGUCCCUCUUAUUUGAACAUUUCCUGCACAUCUGUAAUUGAGACCUGGCACUCCACUGAAGAUUCUACUUCCCAUACAGCCCUCUCCGAUUAAAAUUGUUAAUUUUUUCAUUCCCCACAAAUUAUAGGGUUUUACCAAGAGGAUAGACGGGAGGAAAAUACAAAGACAGAAGUCUUAAAGGAGGGUAAACUUUUCUCAGCUCUGGUAAUGGUAUCCAUGCAGACAUGUCACCCAACACCUUAACUUCUCAGUUCUGUUGAAUGCCUCAAUUCUACUUCGCUUCAACCACUGUCACCCAGGACACAUAGUGGAUGUUUUCAACAUUUAGAGGAAAUCCACACUGUAAAUCAUUUUUGAAUCACUUAUAUUUUUCUUCUUUCCUAUUUUCUACAAAAUAGGAUGAAUUUUCUUCUUCUGGUUUACAGGUUAUAACUGCCAUUUUGGUUCUUAUUUUAGUUGCCCUUAACUAACAAAUACCCAUGUUAAUUUAACCAUAUUAGUUUCUUAAAUUUAUCAGUAUCUACAUUUUUCUCUUAACAUUACAAGUACUUGAAAAUGUUCUCAUGUUUUUUGAGUUCCACCACACCUUCCCCAUCACUUUGAUAAUGUUUAAAAAUAUCUGUUCUGAGUUACUAUGGAUAUACACUUUUUCUUCUUUUCUGCUCAGUAUUUAAUUAUCAAGUCAGCAAUAAACUAUACUACCAGUGUAUAUUUGCCCUUACUCCCCAUGUCUUUGCAGCAUCUCCUGUAUUUUUUUCCUUUCUAAUUUGAAGACCUCCUCCAAAAUUGUCUUCAAUGAGGGUCUUUGUGUGACAAACCUUCUGAGAUAGUGCAUGCCACAGAAUAUAUUUAUUACUAUGCUACAUUUAAGUUAAAAAAUGGGCUGGGCACAGGGGCUCAUGCCUGUAAUUCCAGCACUUUGGGAGGCCGAGGUGGGUGGAUCACUUGAGGUCAGGGGUUCAAUACCAGCUUGGCCAACAUGGUGAAACCCUGUCUCUACUAAAAAUACAAAAACUGGCCCGGCACGGUGGCUCACUCCUGUAAUCCCAGCACUUUGGGAGGCUGAGGCAGGCGGAUCAUGAGGUCAGGAGAUGGAGACCAUCCUGGCUAACACGGUGAAACCCUGUUUCUACUAAAAAUACAAAAAAUUAGCUGGGCGUGGUGGCACGCACCGUAGUCCCAGCUACUCGAGAGGCUGAGGCAGGAGAAUUGCUUGAACCUGGGAGGUGGAGGUGGCAAUGAGUCGAGAUCACGCCACUGUACUCUAGCCUGUGCAACAGAGCGAGACUCCGUCUCAAAAAAUUUAUAAAAAUAAAUAAAUUAAUUAAUUUAAAAAUGGCUGAAUAUAAAAUUAUAGGUUCAAAGUCAUUUUAAACAUUAUAGGUCCAGUCCUUUAAAAUAUUGUCUUCUUGUAUUCAAUGUUGCUAAAAGUCUGUUGUCAAUUUAAUUCCUUUCUUUGUAGAGGACUUGAUUUUUCUCUCUGGAAACUUUGAGAAGUUUAAGUUCUGUGAUUGUGUGUGUGCGUGUAUGUGUGCAUGCAUUUACCUUCUCUGUAUUAGUCUAUGUCAGCCUCAUUGUGUUUGAAGAGUGAGGAAAGGAGAGCCCCAGGUAGCUCAGAACAUGUUAAUAAUUCCCAUUUGCUGCCACUCUAUAAGCAACUGAUAUGAUCAAGGCUUCAUCUUAAAACUUGUUUGAAAGAAGCAGUGCUGGGGGGGUAUCAGUGUCCCAGGUUGUAACUCAUCAACUUUGGGGAUUUGAAAAGGGUGGAGGACUGAAUGAACAAUGGAGCAGGGGAGUCCCUAUCUGUUUUCAACAGCCUCCCACUCAACCAAGCAGGGCUUUUUUGCUGCCCUGAUAUACUCUGAUACACCCUCCAUACACUGGUAACUAUGGUUGGAGAUAUUUCUGCCGAUUUCUGUAGUGAAGGGUAGAUAAUGUAGGUAGGCAAUUGGAGGAGAGACAAGAACAAAACUUUUAAAGCUUUCCUUAAAUUUAUCCUCUCACUGCUGCUCCCAACUACCCUCU